AUCCACCCGAGUGUGCGGUUUAUGGAGGGAGCCAUCAAGUGGGUGCGUUGAUUUCCCCUGACUGUUAACCUACUCCCUCCUUUUGUGUCUGAUCUCAAUUUUUACUUUAUCAGUUGGCUAUGAGCUUCCUUUCUUAAUCCCUAAGUUCCUUGCUGAUGUCCGUGCUUGGAGGCUAAAGAUGUAGGCGUAAUUUUUUAUUCUUUAUAAAAUACGUCUACUACUCCUCUUGCUUUCCUGUUUA
rnacentral:misc_RNA from 1 species